UACGAAGGGGGCUAGCGUUGCUCGGAAUCACUGGGCGUAAAGGGCGCGUAGGUGGCCCGGUCAGUUCGUGGUGAAAGCGCGGGGCUCAACCCUGCGUCGGCCAUGAAUACUGCCGCGGCUGGAGCACUGUAGAGGCAGGCGGAAUUCCGGGUGUAGCGGUGGAAUGCGUAGAGAUCCGGAAGAACACCGGUGGCGAAGGCGGCCUGCUGGGCAGUUGCUGACACUGAGGCGCGACAGCGUGGGGAGCAAACAGG
rnacentral:rRNA from 1 species